ACAGCAGCCGCCGCGGUAAUACGUAGGUGGCAAGCGUUGUCCGGAAUUAUUGGGCGUAAAGCGCGCGCAGGCGGAUCAGUCAGUCUGUCUUAAAAGUUCGGGGCUUAACCCCGUGAUGGGAUGGAAACUGCUGAUCUAGAGUAUCGGAGAGGAAAGUGGAAUUCCUAGUGUAGCGGUGAAAUGCGUAGAUAUUAGGAAGAACACCAGUGGCGAAGGCGACUUUCUGGGCGAAAACUGACGCUGAGGCGCGAAAGCCAGGGGAGCGAACGGGAUUAGAUACCCCCGUAGUCCCUGUCUCUUAUACA
rnacentral:rRNA from 1 species